AUGAAUAAGAUCUAUAUUGACGAAAAAACAAAAACUUCAGAGAUAAUUUCAACAUCUAGUUGCUUGAGAAGAUUUAAUUUCAUAACAUCAGCGUAUUCUUUCUUUCUUUUUCUUUUUUUUUUUUUUAUGUCUUGGAGUGUCG
rnacentral:ribozyme from 12 species